UGAUACGGGCUAUAUGCAGGCUGGGCCUAAGGGUGUCCCCAGCCAAGUCGGAGGCCAUAUGGUUUUAAUAUGACUAUCGACGUAGGGAGACUCCUCCGCCCCGCCUGUGUUUGGACAUAAGCGGAGAGGAUGUUGAGGAGGCUUCAUAGGACGACCGCCAUCAGGUUCGUAAGGGGAUACCGGACGUUAUCAUAUGCGUCGGCGACUGUCCUGGCGGCGUCUCCUUCGUUAGAGCUCCAGGCCUUGGUGCUUCGACGAGUGUACGAAGACCGGAGGAGCCGAAGCUCAAGCGGGGACUCUCCCCCCCCC
rnacentral:misc_RNA from 1 species